rnacentral:tRNA from 1 species
GGGAGUGAAUGGGCUCCGGUGGGCCUCGCGGACUUCAAAUCCGUUGGUGGGUAUCCUUCGAUGCUCAUGGUGGUUCGACUCCCCUCACUCCCGCCA